UGAUGGAACAGUUUCAAGCAGUAGUGGGGAGAGGAGGCCCAAAGCACUGGUAGCUUACUGUGAAGCAACUCCUUCAGGAGAAGAAAUCUGCACUUGUGUAACAUCAAAACAGUUUUCUAAUUACAUCCUCUUUGAAAAGGAGAAUCUGCAUCUAGACUUUAUUCCUGGACUGUUCAUUCAUGGCUCCUGUGCGGUCUAUUGUUUACUGCUACUAAUUCACUGAGAUAUUCCUCAGUCACUGCAGCCCCGGGAACAGAACUGUGCCAUUGAGCAGGGCAGAAAAUGGGUUUCCUGUCCUGCAUGAAGUUUUGGGAGUUCAAAAAAAUUCCAGUUUCACAGCAGGAUA